CCUCAGUUUCAUCUUUCUUUCUUUCUCGACACUCGACGGAGAGAACUGUUCUCAGAGACGACUGACGGACUCAGAGCAGACGAGACGGAGAGACAACCUCGAGCCCUCGACCACUCCAGGCGCCACGGUGAAGGUGAUCCCACCCCGACUCGUCGAUUCCCACGAGAAACAAGAAUAGUGAUCUGAAGGUUCGAUUUUGGGGCUCAGCAGAUUGCCUCUUCGCUAAUCUGACCUAAAUUGCAAAUCGAGCUCGACAGAUUUGAAGGUUACUCUGAAGGUUCGAUUUUAGGGCUAAACAGCGAUCUUGAAGUUGUCUUGCUGGCGUUACUUCCCCUAGAGCAUGGCCCGUCGGAGUGCUUGCUCAACGCCAUCGAAGCCUGUGUCAUCGAUACUUGGCCUACAGUGGCAAUACUCCUUGACCUUCAGUUUAAUAUUAAAUUAUGCUACAUAUUAUUUCCUCGCUGGGUGUGUUUUCCUUCCAAUUGCCGCUCAAGAUAUCGUCUGGCUUUGCAGUGUUUUGGGUGCGUGCAGCUUCUUUAUUUCAUUUCCUCUCCACUUUAAUAUUGUUUGGAGCUGUUUCUGGAAGAGAUCAACGGAGACCAUUCGCAUUUGUCUUCUCAAGAACAAGACCAUCUGUGAAGCAAACAAGAUUUAUGAUCCCCCACUUGAUGAAAUUUCCUAGCUCUUUCCUUGUCUAAGGUUUCUACAGUAGUUGGAGAUACUGGCAACAGUUCCGAUCAGUAUUUCUUUUCCGUCUUCGGAUAUACUUCCACCACGAGUUUAGUUUCUUCCAUAAAUGACCUCUUUCUUGUACUUUAUUCACAAAGGGUUCUCCAAUGGGGAGAUGGGUUCUAUAAUGGAGAUGGGAACUUAUCUAGGUAUGAUUAGGCAGGUUCAUGUCGUGUCUGGGUAAUCAGGUUGACAUGGAUAAACAUGUCAUGUUCUAAAUCUAACUCUUGUAAUAAUCGUGUCGUGUAUGAAUACGUGUACCUAUUAUAACACGUUUCGAUAAAUAGGUUUAAACAUUUUGUGUUCGGGUUAACACAUAUAUA